rnacentral:rRNA from 1 species
GCGGCGGACGGGUGAGUAAUGCCUAGGAAUCUGCCUAGUAGUGGGGGAUAACUUGCCGAAAGGUAAGCUAAUACCGCAUACGUCCUACGGGAGAAAGCAGGGGACUCUUCGGAGCCUUGCGCUAUUAGAUGAGCCUAGGUCGGAUUAGUUAGUUGGUGAGGUAAUGGCUCACCAAGACUGCGAUCCGUAACUGGUCUGAGAGGAUGAUCAGUCACACUGGAACUGAGACACGGUCCAGACUCCUACGGGAGGCAGCAGUGGGGAAUAUUGGACAAUGGGGGAAACCCUGAUCCAGCCAUGCCGCGUGUGUGAAGAAGGUCUUAGGAUUGUAAAGCACUUUAAGUUGGGAGGAAGGGCAGUUAACUAAUACUUGACUGUUUUGACGUUACCGACAGAAUAAGCACCGGCUAACUUCGUGCCAGCAGCCGCGGUAAUACGAAGGGUGCAAGCGUUAAUCGGAAUUACUGGGCGUAAAGCGCGCGUAGGUGGUUCGUUAAGUUAGGAGUGAGAGCCCCGG